ACUACGGGAGGCAGCAGUGAGGAAUAUUGGUCAAUGGACGAGAGUCUGAACCAGCCAAGUAGCGUGAAGGAUGACUGCCCUAUGGGUUGUAAACUUCUUUUAUAAAGGAAUAAAACGAGGCACGUGUUCCUUUUUGCAUGUACUUUAUGAAUAAGGAUCGGCUAACUCCGUGCCAGCAGCCCCGGUAAUACGGGGGAUCCGCGCGUUAUCCGGAUUGCUUUGGGUUAAAAGGAGCGUAGAUGGGUUGUUAAGUCAGUUGUGAAAGUUUGCGGCUCAACCGUAAAAUGGCAAUUGAUACUGGCAGUCUUGAGUACAGUUGAGGUAGGCGGAAUUCGUGGUGUAGCGGUGAAAUGCUUAGAUAUCACGAAGAACCCCGAUUGCGAAGGCAGCUUACUAAACUGUGACUGACAUUGAUGCUCGAAAGUGUGGGUAUCAAACAGGAUUAGAUACCCCGGUAGUC
rnacentral:rRNA from 1 species